GAUGAACGCUGGCGGCGUGCCUAAUACAUGCCAGUCGAGCGAACAGAUAAGGAGCUUGCUCCUUUGACGUUAGCGGCGGACGGGUGUGUAACACGUGGGUAACCUACCUAUAAGACUGGGAUAACUUCGGGAAACCGGAGCUAAUACCGGAUAAUAUUUCGAACCGCAUGGUUCGAUAGUGAAAGAUGGUUUUGCUAUCACUUAUAGAUGGACCCGCGCCGUAUUAGCUAGUUGGUAAGGUAACGGCUUACCAAGGCGACGAUACGUAGCCGACCUGAGAGGGUGAUCGGCCACACUGGAACUGAGACACGGUCCAGACUCCUACGGGAGGCAGCAGUAGGGAAUCUUCCGCAAUGGGCGAAAGCCUGACGGAGCAACGCCGCGUGAGUGAUGAAGGUCUUCGGAUCGUAAAACUCUGUUAUUAGGGAAGAACAUACGUGUAAGUAACUGUGCACGUCUUGACGGUACCUAAUCAGAAGGCCACGGCUAACUACGUG
rnacentral:rRNA from 1 species